GUCACUCUCUGCCGGGAAGGGAGGGAGCGCGGUGUGUCUGCCGGGGGCACCGUGCUGAGCGGCGAGAGAUCCUCCGAGCAACCCCAGUGAGAGCCCCAGGCUGCGGGGAGAGCUGAAACGGAAGCCUCUAAAAAGCAUCCAGAGAGGUCUGCGGAUCCAGUGGAAAUGGGAGCUUCUGUGCAUUUCCUCAAUGCUCUGCCUAAAUCCUCCGCUCUCCAGUGGUGAGGAGCCUCUCAGUUGGCCAAGGCGCCACUCCAAGGAGGGAAGAAGCGCUCUGCCCCUCUGCCAGCCCACUCAGCUUUGGCUGCUGUGUUGAGAGUUCUGGUCAGGUGGGACUGUUUUGGGAAAGGGGUGAACCCUCAGCUAGAAAUCUUUCCCUGGCAUCCCCCUGCUCUGCCCUAUCUUAGUGUGGAAUGAGAGGAGAAUCACAAGGAAAGCUUUGCAGACCAUCGUGGGGUGUCUGACUGGUGGAGCCUGUCUGUACUGUUGUUGUUUCUUGUACAACACUCUGGUGCUGGAAACUGCUCCUCCUGUUCUGCAUGGUCUGUCGGUGUCUGCUUCUCUCAGACAGUGAAUGACAGGUGGGGUGGGGUUUCUCUUUCUUCUCUGAUUAUUGAUUUUUGCUUUGCAUUUUAAGUUCUUCCUUGGUUGUGACACAAAGUAGUAUGGAUGAACUACUAAACCUGGGUGACCCCCAGACCUGCACGUGUGUUCUGUGCAAACAAGGGGCAGCCUGGGCUCCCCACACACAGACCAAGCCUGCUAUCGCUCUGACCAGUGGCCUAUUCUGCAGCCCACUUCCCUGGGUAAAAAAUGGCCUUGAUGCUACUUCCUGACACUGCAAGGGUCCUGAGCAUUAAUCAUGGAAGGUGGCAAGGUGCUUCAGUGCAGUAAAAUAAGAGCAAAGAACCAGCUAAAAUAGGGUGAAAGUUUUCCUCCAAUCUUGUAGAAAUUGAUCUGAAAUUGCCAUCUCCAGUGGUGUUGGUGCUCUUCUGCAAGUUUGAGUUCAGAACUGUAAACUUUAACAAGUUUGAGCCAUGAACCCAUUGCUCUAACACAGCAUCUUUGCUGCAGAUAGGAAGUCCACUCUUCCAGGCACCAACGGGGCUUGCUGUGUGCAUGCCUCCCUGCUCGUGUAAUUGAGCAAAGCAAAUGUAUUGUGCAGGGUUGGCUGUUGAUUAUUGCUCCUGGUGUGAGUUAAGGCUGCUUACAGUGUCAGCUCGGAAAUACUGUUCACACAAACAGUGCUAAAUCCUGGGCCCUUGGGUACCUUUCGGGGGUAGGAAUUGAAUCAAGUGAAAGAGCAGCACAUCACCCUUCUCGGGGUGGGCAUCAAUUUCAGAGGCUGAGCUAAACUUUAUUUUGGGAAGUGCCAGGCUGUGUUGCUGGCUACUGCUGGAAGGUGCACUUCUACCUGUGGCCCCAAAAAAUUAAAGGAAAACCAAUCGUGGUGUUCCUCAGCAAGCUGGGGAAGAGCGCUGAUGUUCAAUUGUUCGUGUGCUGCUUGGUAAAGAAGAACAGCUUUAUAAUUUCUGGUUUACCAUUAAUAGCAAUCUGACUCAACAGAUCACAGCACUGGUUCUGUUCAGCUCAGAGGUCUUCUCAGUGCUAAAAUAGACACCUUUGGCAGCACACAGAGAGCAUCCCUGGAAGCAAACGGGCUGCCUGGGGCAGGGAUGGGGCUGCCCCAUCUGCUCUCACAUCAAGUUUGCUUUUUUUUUUAACAUGUUUGCCCAAAACGGAGGUAAAAGAUUGAUGGUCCUCUAUGCCAGGUUUCUGUGUCUGGUUAUUCCUUCUUCUGUGGUAGAGUAGAAUGCUGGUGAAGGACAUGACGUCAGCACUCUGUAUUUAGGCUCCAUUUAAUUAUACUGGGAAAAGCAAAGCUCAGCCAGCAACAUCUGCUGGAAGGGAAACCACUUGUGCCCAUCUUGGUUUACCUGUGAGCAUGGCUGAGCUUUGUAGAUCCCAACUUUUCACCUCUUCAUUCUCUCUGGUGACCCUUUGGCUCUCUGUCACUCAUUGUGUGAUGCAGUUAUCGUUAAACAAGGCAAUCUUCCUGCCCAAAGCUGAGCAGCUCUGGCAGAGCAGCAGCAAUGGAGCAGUGCUCCGCAGCGGGCAGAGGCUCCUCCACACAGCACCAACUGUGGUCGGAAAAACUCAUUGAAUACACUGGGAAAGAAAAUCUAUCAGCCCGUGACAGGGAUUAUUUUAAUAACCUAAAAUCUUAUUGCUUCUGGAACAUCUGCUCUUUGGUGGAGCAAACAAAUAGGUUUUAAUUUCAUUGCCUUAGCUUCGCGGAAAUAAAUUUGAGAAGCGCAAUAACCGAUAUUAUUUGGGAUAACAGCAUUACCUUUUUCACAUUGGUCACAAAAGGAAAACUGCAGGAAAUACAGAGCCAAUAGAAACACCUUCAAUCUCACACCCUUGAAAUAUCUGCAUCUUAAUACACCACAGCUGGAGAAAGAAAACUUCACCUGACCUUUAAGUUUGCAGAGGAAAGCGGUUAGCAAGUCAUUCCUUUGGAGGUGAUGUGGUAAGGUGGUGUUACUCAGUAACAUUCCUUGUCUAUAUGGAGAAUAAUGUAUUCCCGUUGCAUUUAAUUAGUUUUGAACCUAUGUGUGUGAGAAAUGCAGUGCUGUUAUUAAAAUUCAUGCUUUAUAAUAAUUAGCACAGUUUGUACAGUCUCUGAGAACUGCCAGCAAAAGGACUAUUAACUUUGGUUAAUGCUGGAACUGUCUCAGCCGUGCUAUCGUUUAACCCAUUGCUGCAUUUUUAAGGGGAGAAAAGUUGUGAUUGUUCUCAAAGGCUCCAUCAGGCCAGCCAUUAAUUACCAAAACUCAUUAAUUAUAACAGAUCGGCUGCUAUAAAAUCCCUUUAACUGAACUUUUGCAAUGAUCAGUACGGAAAUGGUGACAAAUACAGGCAGAACUGUCCCUUUUAAAUUGCUGGCGUUUUAUCUCUCAUCGAAUCCCUAUCUGAAAUUGAGAAAAAUGACCAGUAAGGUUCAGAAACUCAUUCUUCAGAAGAUCAAAGUCAGAAAAUUCUGCUAAUUCCCUUUGAGACAGAAAUAGGAAUUAUAGUUAAGAGACUUCUCCCCGUGACUUUUUCUUUCAUGUUAAGACUCUCUAAUUGUUCCCCAGGUGUAUCUCCCAUUGUAUUCCACUGUAAACUAAUUUGCUGAGCUAUCAGGAACCCGAGAAAAAUCUCUCAGUUAAAAACUGCUUCUCGCAAGAGCAGCUGAAAAGCACACAUUCCGAAGAACCGCAGCAAUGCCCUAUUCCUCAUUGCUCCCAGCAAACAUGCCUGCAGCCUUUGGUCUUGUUUUUUGGUCAACCUCGGUCUUGUCUUGUGGUUCAGGGCUCACGGCUCAGUGUUUACAGGCAGAAUUUCAGCUGAGUGUUCUGAGUUUAUGAAAGCACUUUUACCUUGAUUUUUUUAUUUUUAUUUUUUGUCUCUUCUAGUGCCAGGUUAUUCCUAGAGCAGCUCUCAUUGCUUUGCUUUGUCUCACAUUGCCAUACGGCUGCAAUGCCACCAAUCUACGGGGCAUCCACUCUCCGGCCUGCAGGUGUGCAUCCUUUCUGACAAAGUUCCCCUAGAAGCAGCUUUACCUUUGGUUUCAUAAGAAAAAUCUUGUAUGGUGCAAACAUUGCAUCCAUAUUCUUAAUGGCUAUUUAGAGAGUGAAGUGUUUGGAUGUGCUUGAAAAUAGCCCUGGGCACCUAUUUGCCAUGUGUAGGUGCAUAAAGAUCUGAGAAAAACGACCAUCUGGUGUCUCUGGGCUCAGAUCCUCAGGAAAUACACAGAAUACUGAAAGGAAAAGAAUUUAGACACAUGCAUUUCUUUUGGUGAUUGGUUCAACUCUUUGUGUCUCUCAGAGGUGUGCAGAGGAAGAAUACACAAAGGAAGGGGAAGGGCUGUAUGCUGUCUGCACGUGUUCUGCAGGUGAUAUUAGGGAAGGUCAGCAGGAAAAAAGGAUGGCCUGUGGAAAGGUAUUCUGCCCUCCAAUUUUAAAAUACCUUUGAGCUCUUACUUUGUAAAAGAAGGAACUGAUGACCUGGUGGCUAAAGAGUAUUGCCAAUUCAAAGGCAAUCGGUUCUUGGAAUAAUUUUGAGGCAUGUUGAGCCAUUUUCCAUAUUUUUCUUUCAUCUUUUUGUAGGAAAAUUUCAGAUUUGAUCUUUUAUUUCCUAUAUUGGCUACAAGAGAGGAUUUGUUUUGCUGUGCCAUGGUACAAAUCAUUUUCAUGUUAGAAAACCAAAACGCAUUAGCUGUGCUUUUACUUGGUGCAGAAGACAGAGGCAUUGGUACUGUAACACAGCGUGUUUUCUGCUCAGUGCAUGGUAUCAUGGCUGGAAAUCCUGAAAUUUGGAGCUACAGAGCACUUCACCCCACAUCUGGGAGGGUAUUCACACUGAGAUCCGAGCAACUCCCAAUGGGCAACUGCUGGCAUUUCGGCUUUUAUUUUGGUCACUGGGUUGAGUGGACCCUGAGAAACACUGGCAAAAAAAUAAACCCUACUCCUAAGCCUAGAUAAAGUUGCAGAUGCUUCAGGCUGAUGCCUGGGACAAGGAAUUAGUAAAAUUAUUAUUCAUUUCAAUGGUGGCUCUUUCAGUGUGGGGCAACACAUCGAUUCUGAGCCUGCUCCGUGAUCAUUUUCCUUUUCGUUAGCGGUAUUUCCUGCCAAAAUUAAUCAGACACUCCUUGAUGCUGGGCCAAUUCCCUGAGUUGCACGUUGUCAAUCAGGUGGCGAUCCAAAUGUUCGCCCACUUCUCCACCGUUUUCUUUCUCUCUGACUCCAUCAGAAGCACAUGACACAUCCGUGGAUCAUGGGAGAGAGAAGCAGGUUUGCUCUCCUUUAUCUCUCUGCUGGGGGAAAGAAAAAGACUCUCAGCUGUAUAAUCAUCUUCCUAUAAAAUAAAUUACUUUAUCUGUCUUAAUACUGUCACUCUUCAGUCCUCCAGUGAUCUACUUCUUCCAUCUGUGUGCAUAACUGAAAUCUUCUCUCCACCUACUCUAUGUACUUCCAAGUGUCAAAAUCCAGCCUCAAUCAUUGCUGUCAUCAGUCUCUCGUUCUUGAUGGGAUAGUGGAUGAAACAUCACUGUUCCUCAGACCUCUAUGGGUAAUUUCUGUGCUUGCUUUGCAGAGCUGAGGUAAGCUAUCAGAAAUGUGACCUAAAAGAGUUUUGUUUGGUUUGGUUUUUUGUCAGCUGAAGUUUUCCACUUUCUGCUCCUGAAGCAAGUGGGUAUUUUUGUUGCUUCCUGGGUCUUGUUUCCAUCAUGACUCUUGCUGCAUAAUUUAAGGAGAUAACCACAUUACCCAAAUCCUAUGAAAGUUGACAUACUGCUUCGUAUUGAGUAAUUCUGCAUGACUCACACUUUGUUCUCUGAUAUAAUUCUUACGCUCGUUUGCAGAAUAUUGUUGAGACAAUUGAGCUUGCUUACUGAAAUCACCAUCUUUUGUAGCGAGACAGUACAACCGCUUUCCUCUUUCACAAAGCCAUUCCAAGAACAAUGGGCCGACCCAGAAAUAACAACCAUUUGUUUUGCUUAGAAUAUGGAUUCUGCUUUGCUAAAUGAAAUAACGGCAGGGAAAAGAAAGAAACCUUCUUAGAAGCCGUGCAUCUUCCCAGAUAAAUGUGGCAACGCGCCCCUCCUGCUGAGCCGUGACCUACUUUGCUCACAAAAUGCUCUCACUACCUUCCCCCAAACGCGAGGCUGUUGAAGCCCCAGGAAUUCUUCACCUUGGGUGCGAAACCGUGAAGCGUCAGUCACCACCGAAGGAUCCUCAACGGUUUCCCUGUCUGGCGGCACUGCGCUGCUUAUCGCAUCCUCUGCGAAUGCCUCCCUUCUCAUCGCGUUGCUGUUGGGAUAAGUUUUUAUCUCUGCUCCAGUGUACACCGCGCGAGUUCAGAGCUGGGUGGAUUUUGCCAUCUUGUGAGAGGUUUUGGUACUUUUUUCUGGACUGGGUUUAUUUUUGGGUUAGCUUUAGAUAAAAAAAAUAUAUAUAUUUUAAUUCCUUCAUAUUUUUUAUGACUGAAAAGGAAUCCUUUUCCUCUAGCUAAUAUAUUAUGUGCAUCAGAACUUGGUAGUGUGCCUGUUCACAGAGAAACAGGAGUUGAGAUCGAGCAUCAACAGCUGUGGGAAUGACCUACACCAUAUGGGACAUAUGACAAUUACCCAGUCUGUGUUACAUAAGGAAUAAAAUCAAGUUGCUUUGCUAAAGCAUGGAAGGAGAGAGAACUAGAACAUGAUGACAAAUGACUGCUCCUGAUGAUAAAGGUCCUUAGAUGUACUACCAUGCUUUUUUUUUUGGCUUUACAACAAAUGCAUGCGAUCUACUUGUUAAAUUCAAGUUCGUUGCAUGGCAGAGGCAGCAUCCCUUGGCUUGGUACUUUUCUUAGUUAAGCAGCACAGCACUUAAAUAUAGAAGCUGAGUUUGUCCAUCAGGUUUUGCAUUUGUGACUCACAACCAAAGGUACUGAUGGCAGCACAUAGACAUUAUUGCCUGCUGCAGCAAUGCUCAGGCUCGUUAUUUGGGGCAGAUGAUUAGAUUUUAGUGCCACAAAGCAUCAUUAUAGUCAGAAGGUAAAUAAAUGUUUUGUCAGAUGGAAAUAUGUUUCAGAGCUUGUUCCUGUUUGUUUAGCAAAAGAAACUCUGGGAGAUGAUGCUAUACAACCUAUGCAUGCCUUUAUGGGAGAUGUGCUGCACCCUGGAGGGCUGCCUGCAAGAGCUGAUGGCCCCAACCUGUUGCUAACCCAAGGCAAACCUUUAAAAGCUGGAGAAUUAGCAACCAGCCAGAAGGAAAAUGAUUGAUUCCUAAGGUCUUGCUUUCUUUUAGCUACAACUGGGUACCUUUCAGGAUGACACACCUGCAUCAAACAACUCUUAAUGUCAUGCAAAAGGCUGGAUGUGAUCACCUGUGAUACUCAGGAGGCUGGAUCACAGCUCCUUCCCUCUGCCAGGGGAAGUCUUUGAACCAUCUCAUCUCAUCUUAUGUCUGGCAUUUGCUGAUAUUGUGUAAUGGGGAGCUUUAGUGCCUUCCAUGACAGCAGGGCCAGGAGGUGAUUCCUUGUGCUGCUCUGGGGCCCACAGGGCUCAGCAAGGAUCCUGGCACUGGGCUGCAGCACCGACCCCAGAACUGCCACUGGAGUUCCCCAGCCACUACUGAGUGACAAUGGAGUCAUUGGUUUCACAGAGGCUGCUGCAGUGCACAACUGUACAUUCUGAUAUCCCAGACAAUCUGGGCUGCUCCUAUCUCAGAGCUGAACUCAUAUCUCUGUGCAAUGCCAUCUUACAGAAGCAUUUUGCAGAAUAAUGGUUCUCGCUGUCUCCUUCACAAACAAAUGUACCAUAAAAGCAUUUGUACUACCGAGUUCAUUGACAACGUUGUUCAAAGAGGUAUUUUGUGACAUAUUUGUUCUCCUAAUCUAUAUUUCUAUUCAGGGCAUUUUGAAAGUGUUUUCUAGCUUAGGAGUCCUAAUGAACCAGCCCCGUGUCUGCUCAUGUUUCCUCAAUAAUAAACUCCUCAAACUCCCUAGCAAUGUUUGCCAGCUGGAACUGCACAGCUGCUGUGGAGCAGUGGAAGGCAGAGAUGGAGCAGCUCCUCACGACAUGCCCAAGUCACAGGAAGAGGAAAGUGAUGUGGUUUGUAUUGUAUUCCCACUGCAGCACUGAGAGGUGCAGAAGGCCCAUUUCCGUGACCAUGUGCUAUUUUCUUUGACUGGCAGCUGUGCAUAGCGGCAGGGAGGAUGUUGGACCCCAGCAGUACCCAGCUCCAUCCCAGUGCUGCCUUCCUCCUGCACAGCUCAACGCUCGCAUUUUGGUCUCCGCUACUCCAACUCCAUAGAGGUGAUGGGUUGAGCAGUUUCCUAACGUGCAAAUGUCAGAACCUGUGAGUGGUUACACUUCUGCAGGCAUUUGCCUUGAGAACUCAGUUCCUCAAUCCAUUUGCCUGGAGAUAAUCUGCUUUUUUGGCUGUUUUUUUUUUCUUUUUGAGCUUUGACACUGGAGUAUACAAACACUCCUUGUUCUGUUUCAGUGGUUGUUGUGAAUAGAAGAACUUCAGAUCAACCUUGCUUACUGUCCUCAGCUCUUACACCCCAGAAAUACCUAAAGGUGGUUGCUGCCUCCAGGCCCACAGAACCUUUCCCAGGCUGUUAAAUCUCUAUUACUUUCCUUCCCCAUAAGCAAGAGAUCUGCAGUGAAGGCUGCCAGCAAUGUAGCUAGACAAGGACAUCAUCAUCUUGCUAAUCUGCUCAUUGAGCUGAUUCUUCCAGUGUGGAACCCAAAAAUUCAGCAUGUGAGAAACCUCAGAAAAGAGGAGGACUCUGCAAAAGCCCUGUGGCUGUCCAGAGCUUCUCGGAGGAGAAUUCAAACUCUGGGCUCUGCCAUUCAUAUGCAAAAACAGGAAGAGGAGAACUCACCGAGUGAUGCCCAAUCCAGCUACGAUCCUCACCGAGCUGAUAAUCCUACCAGAAGCACAGAUUUCACCCUGAUGGCUCCCAGCUCCAAAAUGUCACCAGAGAUAGAAGCACUGAAGAUCUGUGUGGAUGUCUCCUGAUAAUGGCAGGAACUUGCAUUAACAACCGCUCAGCUGCAGUCCUGGAAGUUAGAAGGACAUAAAGGUGCAGUGGGAAUUGCGGAGGAGUCAUUUCUGAAUGAAGACAUUUCCGUCCAACAUUUUGGCUUGCCUGAAGCACACUGAGUGAAGAGGAAUUGUCCUUGGCCACCUAUAAAAUACAUAAUUGGUUAAUGUAUUGUCAGAGAGCCAAGGCUGGAUGUGUUCCUCCUGACACUGCCCUGCAGGGGACAGCGGGAAGUGCCAGAGCAGUGCUGUCACCUGUCCUGUGUCUGCGGUGACAGCGGUAAAUCUCCCAUGGAGAACUCCUCCUGGGGCAGGACCAGGGCAGCCAUUCAGCACUGCUGUCUUUCUGUCGCUCCUUGCCUUUGCAGAGGCGAAUGAGGACUUGAUUCCAAACCAGCCUGCUGGCAUAUUGCGAGCCCUUCGUUCCUUGAGCCUGUCCCAGCAGGCACCACACAGCCUGGGCUGUCUGCUGGCUGCUCUUUGGCUCAUGGGAGACCUCACAGCAUGAAAGAAAGGCAGGAGUAUCUUUCUUAUGCAUGCUGCUCAUGGUGUUGUCCACAACUGACCACAAAUCUAUGGAGAAAGGCAAUAGUUAUGCUAGCACAGAUGAAAGUUCUUUUCUUGGGACAUGCAGAAACUCUUGCUUGUAGCAUUGCAGCAGCCUAGCUACACCGUUACUUCUCUCAUUCCUGUGUACUUGUAAUCUAUGUAAUGAUUUUAUUGUUUCCAUAUUAAUGUGGUUUAUUUUUACUGUAGCACUCUAUCUACUUGUGCUACUGUUAAACAAAUCCUUCUGAUGCUGGACCAGAGAAGAAACCCCUGAGACAUAAUACAAAGGUCUUCCAGGAGGGGACUCUAUGCUGAGGCUGCAAGACUUCCAUCCUGCCUCCUCUGGGUUGAUCACACCGGCACCGGAGAAAUGCAAAUACCAACAAGAAACAAGUGAAAAAGUUAGUAGAAAAAGAAAUAAUUAAAAAAGCAUAAAUUAUUCAAGUUUAUAUAGGAGAAGAAUCAGCAGGAGAAUGCAGUAAAAAUGGAGUGUCAGAGGAGAGAGCAGCAGAAAAGCAUGAGUGUGAUUCUCUGUGUAUAAAGAGGUUGCAAGGGACCCCUAUGGGACUCUUUUUGGGAACACAAAGUCUGCACAAACUAAUGUAGGAAUGAGACUAAUCUGAUGCCACAGAGAAAACAAGUGGAACUGAAAGUCCUUCAGGCUCCUGUGGUCUGGCAGAUUCCAGUUUUAAACCACAACGUUCUUAAAAUCCCAAGUCUCUAAGACCAAGAGGUGGUAUUAAUCACAAGCUUGCCAAGGGCAUAGAUCCAGGAAUCACGACUGCCUUCGUCAGCCCCUGUACCAGAGGGGAUUCAAGAAAAAUGAGUUUACUGGAGGCACUGUGGAGUUAGCACAAAUCAUCCCAGGGAGGAAUCUGUCCAUAAACGGUUCCUCUGUGCAAACAAAUAGGAUGGAAGAGAAAGAGCUAGGCAAAAACUGCAGCUUCGUUGAUCUUUCUGUGCCAAUUAAUGCCAACUGAGAAUGCCUCCCUGGACACCACUGAGAGCACUGUCGGUAAACUCACCUUACUUGAGAUCACAGAGACCUUUGCAGACUCGUGGUAUGUACCCUACUAAUCUUCUUGUUUCUCUUGUUAAAAACCUACAGCAGGGAAAAAACUGAUGUGUCUAACUGACACUUGGCAUUUAUGCUGAGGGAAUAUCCAUCUGUUUCAGCCAUCCGAAUCUAUUCUCUGUCUUGUUAUUAUUUUUCAGUUCUGUGCUUUGUGGAAUAUAAUGGGUGAUGUCCUCACUUAUUUUUCCCAACUAGCAAUUGCCUUGCAGAUCAAGCAGCUAGCAGCCCUAUGACUUUCUGACAUGGCAGGGUUAUGAAAAUCCUGCCAAAGUGUCAUGCAGUCUCUGCUGUGAAAUCUGACAGUUGAAGAGGUUCCAUCCCAAUCCUAGUGGUGAUGGGUUUUGAUCCCCUGUUAAAUGCACUUCUACUUCAGCUCUGACAGGUACCGGCGAAAUAAAUGAAAUCUGCAAUCCUCUGUGCAUAUGGGAGGGCAUUAGAUGAUUCAUUGGCUUGGAGCGUGCCGACAGGCAUCCUUUGCACAUCUUGUGUUGCUUUAAUGGGUAGUUUGCAGCUGUGGGAUCAUUGCUAUAUUUUGUAGUUUUGUUCUAUCAUUAGCUGUUAAAGGAAUAGAAGACCACAGAUAGCUUUGUACUAAACUACAAGUUCUUGUUUUUAUUGGCACCACCUGGGGAUUAAAACUGAUGCUGUCAUGCUGCCCAGUUAGCCUCAAAGCAGGGGAGAUGUAAUGAUUAUGUGAUCAAAGCACCUCGCUUCAUUCAAUUGUGCAAUAAUUACAAAUGGAAACAUUAUAAACAAGCAACAUUGGCUGUGACGCACACAGGAAGGCAAACCCAGUCCCCAGAGCCUUUAGUGAGUGCUUCAGGGAUGGGAAACCUUCUUCUGAGGAGAAAACCUGGGUAAAAGCUGCUGCAAAUGAUCCUGCAGUACCUUAUGGGCCAUGAAAAUACCCUGUUGUUACCAAGGGGGUAAUAUUGUGAACGCCACGUAUCCACAAUGACCAGGCCCUUAGUUAUAAUAAAAUCAUUUCAUUGACCUUUUGUGACCAUUUCAGCUCAUUCUGCUGUGGCUACAGGGUGUAUUCCUGCCUCCCCAGAGGCUGACUGGGACAUCUUCAUCCAAAGGAAAACGUAUUUACACGGAAGAUGGAAGUCAAGUGAUGUUUUCCAGCCACUUCAGGUACUGAGCUGCUGGUGCGUGGUUUCAGAAGUUGCCUUUGAGGGUUUUGGACCCUGUCCUCCUUCUCCUCCUGCCACUGCCAGGUGGUGAGGCACUGGCACGGACUAACCAGAGAAGUGGUACUUGCCCCAUCCCUGGACUCACUCAUGGUCAGCCUGGAUAUGCUGGACACCUGAUGGAGACGUGGGUGCCCCUGUUCAUUGCAGGAGUCCAAGCUCUCAUUGCCCAGUGCUGUGGGGGCUGCUAUGAGGGCACAGCCUGCAAACUGCAGAACUCCUGCUGAGAAAAACAUCACCUGGAACUGUUUGUCCACUGCAUGGCAAUUUUCGUAAGCAAACUUCGUGCUGAAGUACAGCGAAGAGCUGCAGACAUGAACAUCUUAAUGCAAGAGGCUGGUGAAACAUUAUGGAAAAUGCAGCUUUGGUGCCAUGCCUGGAUAACAGCAAGGGUGUUAAUAGGCACACAGUGCACGGCAGUCAGAUACUGCCAGAAAGCCCGAAGAUUGCUUCUCACAAGUGCCCUCAGUGACUGCCCCUCGAACAAAAUUGGCAGCCCCAUUUUGGCUGAGGGCUGGCCUACUUCUCACCCCCAAAAGCUUCAGGUUUGAUGAUGCUGUGAGGUGUGCCACGGAGAUGGUGAUGCUCAUGGACUUGGGGAGAAAAGCAACCAGAAUGGGAGUCGCUGAGAUGUGAGCUCACGUGGCUGCGAGGUUGGGAAGAUGAACGGGGUGGCUUUCUGAAGGACUGUACUUCUGGCCUGGAAGGCUGCAGGUAUGAGUGAUAAAAUCAGAAAGUAUUGUUUCUAAAUGGAGGCGCACAGCAAGCUUUGUUGGAGGAUGAAUGCAAUCCUGUUUCUUUUGUCUGGGAAUCACCAUGCAGGUUUAAUCCCUUGUCUGUUUUUAUAUUAGAAAAAAUAUAUCUUUUCACAAAAUCAGUUUUUAAACUCAGUGGAAGUAAAGUAAUGCUUCUCAUCCAGUAAAAUGGAACUGAGUGGGAGAGCACAGCAGCUGUCAGGCACAGGUAGGGGUUUCCUUUGGGGAUUUGUUUCUCUGUUUUCAGAUGCAAUAUGCUAUGAAGUCCAUGUGCCGUCCUCUUUGAUGUACUAAAGAGUGACAUUCAUCCUCUGGAAGUGUUUUUACUUUGCUUCCUCAGUACGUGUGGACCAAUUGCCCAGAGUGAGGACCAAUGGCUGCAGCAGGGAAAUUCAUCUCAGCACCAGAUCUCGUCCUUCCUGCUGGUCUCCUUUUGAAGUUCUAGAAAAUGAGAUGCUCUUUCAUAGCAAAUUCCUGCCUGCAGAGCAGGGCUGUGCUGCUUUGCUCACCCCACCAGUCACAGGGCAGCUGAUGGGACACUGCUGUGCCCCACAUCACUCUACGAAGCUCCUCACACUGCGCUGCUAUUUGUGCUGACCAGAGCAUGCACAGACGUGACACUCAGCACCAGGAGAACACUUCUUUCUGCAUCACAGGACCUUAGGACAAAUCCUAUGAUGCACUGCAUCUAAGCAUGCAAAAUGUAAGUGUAUCAUUGCAUUUCCACUUACCUUUCUUAUCUGACUCAGUAAGUAGUAUGAUGAGAAAUGGAAAUUAUGGUUAAUAUCAUUUCUUUAGCACUAAGGAAUUCUACUUGCAUUCCUAGGAGAUGUUAGAACACUGAACGAAAAGGGUAAAGCAACUCCUGGAUCAAGAGCCAGCUGUAGAGUUGUAAUGAGACAAAUCUUUAAGAUAGGGCUGUUUUUACCAAAGUUGAAAUGAGUUUUGCACAGUGGGCAGUAGGGAAAUACAGCAGUAUUGCCAUGAAAGAUAUUCCAUCUUCUUAUGGAGAAACCAGAAUAGGUUAAAUCAGCACCCUUUUCCAACCUAAGCAGAGGAAAGCAUUCCCACAAACAUUACAUGUAGUGACCAUCUCAUGCCAGCCUUUGGUGCUCUGUGAUGGAUGUUGUCAUCUAAGUGGUUCAUCCUAACACGACACUGCAAGAACCAUCAUGCAAAAGCAGCAGAUUUCCCACAUUAGUUUUAGAAAUGCGUUAAUACUGAUAAUAAUAACUUCAAUGAAGCACCACUGAUAAGGAGUCACAUUGACAGGUUGUUGUCAGAACUUCCCAUUCCCUGAGUUCAUUCCCUUGAGAUACACUUUAGUUUAAGUUUUGCCUUUUGACUCUGCCAAACUUCAGGAGUCUUAUGGCAAAAUGGCUUCUUUGGAGGGCUUCAUGGUUAACGCUGCAGAAAAGCAACCAACUGUUUGGGAUAUCCAAAAGAUCAGGCAAGUAUUUCACCAAGUGUACAACAAAAUAUGAUGAGGUAAUUUUAUUCUUUUUUCCUGGUUUUAGGUAAAAAUAUGACAGUAUACAAGAUAAUCUUAUUAAAGCAGGGAGUUGUUUUUGUCCAAAGCAUUUAGCAAACCCAGCCUGCUUCUACCAAUGCUACCAAACAAAGUUGGGACUCCUCCAUGGGCCACUUGCAGUUUGGAACCUUUUGUGAGGGACUCAGAAGUUCUACUCCAUCACCUAUUCCUCAUCUGGAGAAGACAAGCAGAGAUUACCUGGGAGAAGGAAGAGGGAACCUAUCUUGACUGCCUUAUAUGUGAUUUCCAGGGCAGAAGAAAAGCAUUACUUUCUGCACAAAAGGAAUCUGUGAAAAGUUCUGACUUGUGGCACAAGUGUAACCAAUGCACCAUGCAAGCAAAGUCAUCCCAUGGUUUGAUUCUCUUCCUAUCCUGCUGUGGGACCGCAGACAAUUCAGGCACUCAAAGAUUUGUAAAAAAUAAAAAAUAAAAACUUAAAUUCCUAAACAAUUUGAAAUUAAGGAGUAAUAGAAGAUGAUACAGGAGACAUUUUAAUUUGAUUAUUACAGUUACUUGGAAGUAGAAUGGAAUCUGAGGAAAAUAAAAUGCUGAAAGGCAGGAAAAAGGAGAAUAAGGUAAUGACAAAGCAACAGAAAGGAUGCAGGUGGACUAGCAGAUCAAAAGGAGAGCUUAAUUCAGAGGAGUCAAAGCUGUACCAGGCAGAAGGAAAGCAGCCCCAGACAGAAAUGAAGGAAAGGGGAGGAUGAGGAGGGAUGUUGGUAUGUCUUGUAAGAACUUUGCUUCGUUUUCAAGUUGAAAGCAAAUAAUGCCUUUACUCGCACCCCAGGAGGUACGGGCCCUCUAAGAAAACAAAGCCAUUAACUAUUUUUAGGAUCUUUUAAUUAUUAUUAUUAGGGUGGCAAACUAAUCCUGCAAAAUUUGUUUGUAAAAACAGAUUAUAGACACAAACUAAAACAUGUCCUUGAGAAACAAUAAAGUUUGCAGCCACUCCAGUACCUAUUA